UGUCUCAUGACCAAUAUACGAGAUAAUACCUGCCCAGUGACAUACUGUUUAACGGCCGCGGUAUCCUAACCGUGCAAAGGUAGCAUAAUCACUUGCCUAUUAAUUGUAGGCUAGAAUGAAGGGUUUAACGAAAUAGUAACUGUCUCAAUUAGUAAACUAAAAAUUAUUCUCUACCCGAAGAAAUGUAGAUUACCUCGAAGGACAAGAAGACCCUAUAGAGCUUUAUUUAAACCACAGAAUUACUGUGUAAAAAUUCGGUUGGGGCGACCAGGGGCAAAUAAAUCACCCCUAACAAUAAAGAUAUAUAAAUCAAGUAAAUGACCCUAUAAAGAUCACAAGACCAAGCUACCUUAGGGAUAACAGGCUAAUCCCACUCAAGAGUCCUUAUCAACAGUGGGGGUUGGCACCUCGAUGUUGGCUUAGGGUAUCUACAUAGCGCAAAAGCUAUAUAAAGAUGGUUUGUUCAACCAAUAAUUCCCU
rnacentral:rRNA from 1 species